GAGUUUGAUCCUGGCUCAGGAUGAACGCUGGCGGCAGGCUUAAUACAUGCAAGUCGAACGGUAAGGCCGAGUGCAGCAAUGCACGAGGCACACGAGUGGCGCACGGGUGCGUAACGCGUAUGCAACCUGCCCCCGACCGGGACAAAACGCUGAGAAAUCGGCGCUAAUAUCCCAUGCUGACCGAGGGCGGCAUCGCCUCUGGUCGAAAGAUUCAUUGGUCGGGGACGGGCAUGCGUAACAUUAGUUUGUUGGCGGGGUAACGGCCCACCAAGGCGACGAUGUUUAGGGGUUCUGAGAGGAAGGUCCCCCACACUGGAACUGAGACACGGUCCAGACUCCUACGGGAGGCAGCAGUAGGGAAUAUUGGGCAAUGGGAGCAAUCCUGACCCAGCCAUGCCGCGUGAAGGAAGACGGCCCUACGGGUUGUAAACUUCUUUUGCCAGAGAGUAACCGCCGCGACGCGUCGCGGCCUGAGAGUAUCUGGCGAAUAAGCACCGGCUAACUCCGUGCCAGCAGCCGC
rnacentral:rRNA from 1 species